CAAUAGCGUAUAUUUAAGUUGCUGCAGUUAAAAAGCUCGUAGUUGGAUUUCGGGUGGGAAUGGCCGGUCCGCCGUUUCGGUGUGCACUUGCUUCGCCCACCUUGCUGCCGGGGACGUGCUCUUGAGUUCACGCUCGGGACACGGAGUCGGCGAGGUUACUUUGAGUAAAUUAGAGUGUUCAAAGCAGGCCUACGCUCUGAAUACAUUAGCAUGGAAUAACACGAUAGGACUCUGGCCUAUCUUGUUGGUCUGUAGGACCGGAGUAAUGAUUAAGAGGGACAGUCGGGGGCAUUCGUAUUUCAUUGUCAGAGGUGAAAUUCUUGGAUUUAUGAAAGACGAACUACUGCGAAAGCAUUUGCCAAGGAUGUUUUCAUUAA
rnacentral:rRNA from 1 species